AACUGUCCUCAAUCUGUACUCACACUGUCCCACUCUGUCUUCAAUGUGUCCUCACACUGUCCUCACACUGUCCUCACUCUAUCCUCACAAUGUCCUCACUCUAUCCUCACUCCAUCGUCACUCUAUCCUCACUCUAUCCUCACACUGUCCUCACGCUGUCCUCACACUGUCCUCACACUGUCCACACUCUGUACUCACACUGUCCUCACGCUGUCCCUCACUCUAUAUCCUCACUCCAUCCUCACUCUAUCCUCACUCUAUCCUCACACUGUCCUCACACUGUCCUCAAUCUGUCCUCACGCUGUCUUCACGCUGUCCUCACGCUGUCCUCACUCUGUACUCACACUGUCCUCACUGUCCUUAAUCUGUCCUCACGCUGUCCUCACACUGUCCUCACAAUGUACUUACGCUGUCCUCACAAUGUACUUACGCUGUCCUCACUCUAUCCUCACACUGUCCUCAAUCUGUCCUCAUACUGUCCUAAUGCUGUCCUCACACCGUCCUCACGCUGUUUUCAAUCUGUCCUCACACUGUCCUCACGCUGUCCUCACGCUGUCUUCAAUCGGUCCAUACACUGUCCUCACUCUGUCCUCACGCUGUCCUCACACUGUCCCCACACUGUCCUCACGCUGUCCUCACACUGUCCUCAAUCUAUCCUCACGAUGUCCUCAAUCUGUCCUCACACUGUUCUCACGCGGUCCUCACUCUGUACUCACACUGUCCUCACGCUGUCUUCAAUCGGUCCUUACACUGUCCUCACGAUGUCCUCACUCUGUCCUCACGCUGUCCUCACUCUGUCCUCACGCUGUCCUCACACCGUCCUCACGCUGUUUUCAAUCUGUCCUCACGCUAUCCUCACGCUGUCCUCACUCUACCCUCACACUGUCCUCAAUCUAUCCUCACACUGUCCUUACGCUGUCCUCAAUCUGUCCUCACACUGUCCUCACGCUGUCCUCACGAUGUCCUCACACUGUCCUCACUCUAUCCACACACUGUCCUCACGCUGUCCUCACUCUGUACUCACGCUGUCCUCACGCUGUCCUCACGCAGUCCUCACACUGUCCUCACACUGUCCUCACUCUGUCCUCAAUCUGUCCUCACACUGUCCUCACGCUGUCCUCACGCUGUACUCACACUGUCUUCAAUCUGUCCUCACGCUGUCCUCACUCUGUCCUCACGCUGUCCUCACGCUGUCCUCACUCUGUACUCACAGUGUCCUCACACUGUCUUCAAUCUGUCCUUACGCUGUCCUCACACUUUCCUCACUCUGUCCUCACACUGUCCUCACUCUACCCUCACACUGUCCUCAAUCUGUCCUCACACUGUCCUCACACUGUCCUCACGCUGUCCUCACUCUGUACUCACAGUGUCCUCACACUGUCUUCAAUCUGUCCUCAAGCUGUCCUCACUCUGUACUCACAUUGUCCUCACUCUACCCUCACACUGUCCUCAAUCUGUCCUCACACUGUCCUCACGCUGUCCUCACACUGUCCUCACGCUGUCCUCACGCUUUCCUCACUCUGUACUUACGCUGUCCUCACUCUAUCCUCACACUGUCCUCAAUCUGUCCUCAUACUGUCCUAACGCUGUCCUCACACCGUCCUCACGCUGUCCUCACGCUGUCUUCAAUCUGUCCUCACGCUAUCCUCACGCUGCCCUCACACGGUCCUCACGCUAUCUUCAAUCUGUCCUUACACUGUCUUCAAUCUGUCCUCACGCUGUACUCACACUGUCCUCACUCUGUACUCACAUUGUCCUCACUUUAUCCUCAUACUGUCCUCACGCUGUCCUCAUACUGUCCUCACUAUGUCCUCACACUGUACUCACUCUGUACUAACGCUGUCCUCACGUUGUCCUCACGAUGUCCUCACACUGUCCUCACUCUAUCCACACACUGUCCUCACGCUGUCCUCACUCUGUACUCACGCUGUCCUCACUCUGUACUCACGCUGUCCUCACUCUAUCCUCACGCAGUCCUCACACUGUCCUCACUCUGUCCUCACUCUGUACUCACGCUGUCCUCACUCUGUACUCACGCUGUCCUCACUCUGUCCUCACGCUGUCCUCACUCUGUCCUCACGCUGUCCUCACUCUGUCCUCACGCUGUCCUCACACUGUCCUCACGCUAUCCACACACUGUCCUCACACUGUCCUCAAUCUGUCCUCAAUAUGUCCUCACACUGUCCCCACACUGUCCUCACGCUGUCCUCACGCUGUCCUCACUCUGUACUCACACUGUCCUCACACUGUCUUUAAUCUGUCCUCACGCUUUCCUCACAGCGUGAGGCCGGUCCUGAUAAUUUCUUGAGGUCGCCCUGGUGUUCCGA
ensembl:lncRNA